UAGUGCUCAUUCCAAACGGACAAGAUUCACUGACUACCUGUUGAGUCAGGGAAUAACCACUAAUGCAAUUUGCAGCUGCCUUCCCAAGGUUCAGAGAUCCAUUUGGAAGAGGAGGAAGAACGACUUGAAGGAUGUGACCCAUACCAGGAGUAGUCAGUCAACACAAAUUGGACUCCAUGAGGAAAAAAAAAAUCAAAGAAGAAAUGAAAACAUCAAAAUAAAACAAAACAAAAAUAAAUAAACAAAAUUCAAUAAAUUAA